rnacentral:rRNA from 1 species
UACGUAGGGUGCAAGCGUUAAUCGGAAUUACUGGGCGUAAAGCGUGCGCAGGCGGUUUUGUAAGUUUGUCGUGAAAUCCCCGGGCUCAACCUGGGAAUUGCGAUGAAGACUGCAAGGCUAGAAUCUGGCAGAGGGGGGUAGAAUUCCACGUGUAGCAGUGAAAUGCGUAGAGAUGUGGAGGAACACCAGUGGCGAAAGCGGCUCCUGGUCCGACACCGACGUUCAGGCACGAAAGCGUGGGGGAGCAAACAGG